AGUGAGGAAUAUUGGACAAUGGGCUAAAGCCUGAUCCAGCAAUGCCGCGUGAGUGAUGAAGGCCUUAGGGUUGUAAAGCUCUUUCAGUAGGGAAGAUAGUGACGGUACCUACAGAAGAAGCACCGGCUAACUCUGUGCCAGCAGCCGCGGUAAUACGGAGGGUGCUAGCGUUGUUCGGAUUUACUGGGCGUAAAGAGUAUGUAGGUGGUUUAGUAAGUUGGAAGUGAAAUGUUAGGGCUUAACCUUAGAAUUGCUUUCAAAACUGCUAGACUAGAGAGCAGUAGGGGACAGUGGAAUUUCUAGUGUAGGAGUGAUAUCCGUAGAUAUUAGGAGGAACACCAGUGGCGAAGGCGACUGUCUGGGCUGUUUCUGACACUGAGAUGCGAAAGCGUGGGGAGCAAA
rnacentral:rRNA from 1 species